AUAUAUAUAUAUAUUAUUCUAAUACGAUGUAUUUAUCAUGCUAUUAAUCAAAGAUCAUAUCAUAAAAAAACUAUUUUGAAACCCUAUGGCCCUAACCAAAAGAUAUUGCUUAAACUAAAAGCCACAUAAUAGAAAAAACUGCAUGUCCUACUUCCAAAAGUCACAACUAUUAAAUAAUAAUUAUUUGAAUAAAAUUAUUUUAAGGACCGGCAAUUCGAUCAUAGACUAUAAAAGAUAAAGGGUUUGAGCCUAAUUAAUUACCUUCUAAUUAAUAUAAGAAAAUUUCUAAAGUAGGAGAAGAUCCAUGGCUAGGAAAUAUAUUAGAAAAUUUAUGGUAGUGAUGAUGGAAUUGCUUCUUGUCAUCCACUUUGAAGUGCAAGCUAAUGACAUUGCCCCUAUCUCUUUUUAUCGUUCUUCAAUUCGCAUCCCGAUUCCUUGUCCUUCUAAACUUGAUAAUUUAGCUCAGGGAUCAUACAUGUAUUUGUCUUAGAAAUAGAAUCAAAAAAUGUGGAGCUUGGCGACAAAUACAAAUUGAGGGACAUGGAAACUUUGAAUAUGUGAUGUGUAUUGGUAAGAGUUUUAUUCACUGCCUGGAAUAUAUCAAAAUUCCUGACGACCCCACUAUGGUUUCUAUCGUUGAAUGCAUACAUAAAUGCCUUGACAACCACAAAGAAAAAAGGCUUCUUGGGGCUUGUUUAUUAGAAUGUGUUGACGAGCAUACCAACGAGUCCUGAGAUCUCGAUUAUAUACGCAUGCAGUAUCCACGACCUCCAGCUUUGGAUUUGAGUUGAUUGGAGGCUUUUCAAGAGAGCUGCAACAGCUAGACUUGCCUGGAUUGCCGUUUCAAAUAUCUCGUUUUAAAUCAUUUUGAAUUAGACUAUUUGAUACUGUUUGUAUAUUUGAGUUUUAAGGUCCAUUGAUUGGAUCAUUUUGGGGCUACAAGUAAUGUAAUUUAGGAAUUUAUCAAUAUAAUAUGGGAGGUUUUGUUACUCGGUUA